AGCGAACGCUGGCGGCAGGCCUAACACAUGCAAGUCGAACGAACCCUUCGGGGUUAGUGGCGGACGGGUGAGUAACACGUGGGAACGUGCCUUUAGGUUCGGAAUAACUCAGGGAAACUUGUGCUAAUGCCGAAUGUGCCCUUCGGGGGAAAGAUUUAUCGCCUUUAGAGCGGCCCGCGUCUGAUUAGCUAGUUGGUGAGGUAAUGGCUCACCAAGGCGACGAUCAGUAGCUGGUCUGAGAGGAUGACCAGCCACAUUGGGACUGAGACACGGCCCAAACUCCUACGGGAGGCAGCAGUGGGGAAUCUUGCGCAAUGGGCGAAAGCCUGACGCAGCCAUGCCGCGUGAAUGAUGAAGGUCUUAGGAUUGUAAAAUUCUUUCACCGGGGACGAUAAUGACGGUACCCGGAGAAGAAGCCCCGGCUAACUUCGUGCCAGCAGCCGCGGUAAUAC
rnacentral:rRNA from 1 species